CCUACGGGGGGCUGCAGUGGGGAAUAUUGCACAAUGGGGGAAACCCUGAUGCAGCAACGCCGCGUGAGUGAAGAAGUAUUUCGGUAUGUAAAGCUCUAUCAGCAGGGAAGAAGAAAGACGGUACCUGACUAAGAAGCCCCGGCUAACUACGUGCCAGUAGCCGCGGUAAUACGUAGGGGGCAAGCGUUAUCCGGAUUUACUGGGUGUAAAGGGAGCGUAGACGGCUGUGCAAGUCUGAAGUGAAAGCCCGUGGCUCAACCGCGGAACUGCUUUGGAAACUGUAUAGCUUGAGUACUGGAGAGGCAGGCGGAAUUCCUAGUGUAGCGGUGAAAUGCGUAGAUAUUAGGAGGAACAUCGGUGGCGAAGGCGGCUUACUGGGCUUUUACUGACGCUGAGGCUCGAAAGCGUGGGGAGCAAACAGGAUUAGAUACCCGGGUAGUC
rnacentral:rRNA from 1 species